AUACGGAGGGUGCAAGCGUUAUUCGGAAUCACUGGGCGUAAAGGACGCGUAGGCGGGUUGGCAAGUCAGAUGUGAAAUCCAACAGCUUAACUGUAGAACUGCAUUUGAAACUGCUAACCUAGAGUAUGGGACGGGGAGAUGGAAUUAGUGGUGUAGGGGUAAAAUCCGUAGAUAUCACUAGGAAUACCGAAAGCGAAGGCGAUCUCCUGGAACAUAACUGACGCUAAGGCGUGAAAGCGUGGGGAGCAAACAGGAUUAGAAACCCUAGUAGUCC
rnacentral:rRNA from 1 species